rnacentral:rRNA from 1 species
AGCGAACGCUGGCGGUAGGCCUAACACAUGCAAGUCGAACGGCAGCACAGUAAGAGCUUGCUCUUACGGGUGGCGAGUGGCGGACGGGUGAGGAAUACAUCGGAAUCUACUUUUUCGUGGGGGAUAACGUAGGGAAACUUACGCUAAUACCGCAUACGACCUACGGGUGAAAGCAGGGGAUCUUCGGACCUUGCGCGAUUGAAUGAGCCGAUGUCGGAUUAGCUAGUUGGCGGGGUAAAGGCCCACCAAGGCGACGAUCCGUAGUUGGUCUGAGAGGAUGAUCAGCCACACUGGAACUGAGACACGGUCCAGACUCCUACGGGAGGCAGCAGUGGGGAAUAUUGGACAAUGGGCGCAAGCCUGAUCCAGCCAUACCGCGUGGGUGAAGAAGGCCUUCGGGUUGUAAAGCCCUUUUGUUGGGAAAGAAAAGCAGCAGGUUAAUACCCCGCUGUUCUGACGGUACCCAAAGAAUAAGCACCGGCUAACUUCGUG